CCUACGGGAGGCAGCAGUGAGGAAUAUUGGUCAAUGGGCUUACGCCUGAACCAGCCAAGUCGCGUGAGGGAAGACUGCCCUAUGGGUUGUAAACCUCUUUUGUCAGGGAGCAAGUGGCGCUACGUGUAGCGUUAUCGAGAGGACCUGAAGAAAAAGCAGCGGCUAACUCCGUGCCAGCAGCCGCGGUAAUACGGAGGAUGCGAGCGUUAUCCGGAUUUAUUGGGUUUAAAGGGUGCGUAGGCGGUUUUUUAAGUUAGUGGUUAAACGUCGGGGCUUCACCUUGAUUUGCCAUUAAUACUGUCAGCCUCGAGUUCAGACGAGGUAGGCGGAAUCCGUUCCGUAGCGGUGAAAUGCUUCGAUAUCACUUAGAACUCCGAUCGCGAAGGCAGCUUACCAGACUGCGACUGACGCUGAAGCACGAGAGCGUGGGUAGCGAACAGGAUUAGAUACCCGGGUAGUC
rnacentral:rRNA from 1 species